UACGUAGGGAGCAAGCGUUGUCCGGAAUCAUUGGGCGUAAAGCGCGCGUAGGCGGCCCCGUAAGUCCGCUGUGAAAGUCAAAGGCUCAACCUUUGAAAGCCGGUGGAUACUGUGGGGCUAGAGUCCGGAAGAGGCGAGUGGAAUUCCUGGUGUAGCGGUGGAAUGCGCAGAUAUCAGGAGGAACACCAAUAGCGAAGGCAGCUCGCUAGGACGGUACUGACGCUAAGGCGCGAAAGCGUGGGGAGCGAACAGG
rnacentral:rRNA from 1 species